GCAAAGUCUAUAGACAUCCGCACCUCUCCGUCUUUAAUUGUACCCUCUGCAAUCUCUUAUUUGCUGAAGGGAGACCCGCGAUGGCCGUGACCUCCGAAGAGCUCUCUGAGAUCUUUACUGAACCAGCGAAGGAUUGCACAAAGGGAUUAAUACUGAUACCGUGCAAAGGAGGGGAAGCAGGGAGAGAAAAGAACAGGAACUAACAGAGAUCAAGACAGACGGGUCACGUUACCACCAAGCUAAAGGCCAUAAGGGUCCGUUAUCGAUUCCCAGCCCACUUACACUCUCUCCUGGUGAGUCCUGAGAGCAUGAGAAAGGAGCUUACCCUCUCUGAAAGCUAUGAAUA
ensembl:lncRNA